rnacentral:lncRNA from 10 species
CCCUAUUGUUUACAUUAUCUUAUAUAAAAAUGCAGAUCCACUGAGCCAGACAGAGGCAUAAGUUACUAUUUCUCUACCCCACCUCACAUAUAAAUUGUGUAUUCAGUGAAAGGCUGAUCAAAGAUUCAAAAGGAUGUAAUCAUUUGUCUCUUAUCUAGCCACAUCUUUAAAAAAUUUCUUCCUCUCCCCCAAUAUCCACCCCUUCCCCUGUAAAUACUGAAGUCCUCAAAAUCACCUUUCGAGAAAGGCAUAAACCUGCCUCCUUGGUACACAUCCUUAACUUUGGCAAAGAAACCUCCUAAAAUGAUUGAGACUUGGCUUGGUCAUUUUCAUUGACUUACAUCUUUUUUUUUUUUUGAGACGGAGUCUUGCUGUGUCACCCAGGCUGGAGUGCAGUGACACAGUCUCAGCUGACUGCAACCUCUGCCUCCCGAGUUCAAGCGAUUCU